CAACGAAACGGCGUCACACACCGCAGCCUUGACUGAGCGGAGGACGGAGGCCUAGAGUCAGCGGAGGCCGGCUUGAGUGAGCAGAGACGAGCGGGCU